ensembl:snRNA U6 U6 spliceosomal RNA
GUGCUUGCUGCAGCGGCACAUAUACUAAAAUUGAAAGGAUAUAGGGAAGAUUAGCAUGGCCCCAGUGCAAGGAUGAUAUGCAAAUUUGUGAAGUGUUCCCUAAUUUU